GACGAACGCUGGCGGCGUGCUUAACACAUGCAAGUCGAACGGAAAGGCCCUGCUUGCAGGGUAGUCGAGUGGCGAACGGGUGAGUAACACGUGGGUGAUCUGCCCUGCACUUCGGGAUAAGCCUGGGAAACUGGGUUUAAUACCGGAUAGGAGCCCUUUUUGGUGUGAUGGUUGGAAAGUUUUUUCGGUGUAGGAUGAGCUCGCGGCCUAUCAGCUUGUUGGUGGGGUAAUGGCCUACCAAGGCGGCGACGGGUAGCCGGCCUGAGAGGGUGGACGGCCACAUUGGGACUGAGAUACGGCCCAGACUCCUACGGGAGGCAGCAGUGGGGAAUAUUGCACAAUGGGCGCAAGCCUGAUGCAGCGACGCCGCGUGGGGGAUGACGGCCUUCGGGUUGUAAACUCCUUUCGCUAGGGACGAAGCUUUUUGUGACGGUACCUAGAUAAGAAGCACCGGCUAACUACGUG
rnacentral:rRNA from 1 species